rnacentral:antisense_RNA from 1 species
UGGGAAGAUGCUGUGCCUCGAGGAUUAGUUUAAACAGGGGGCUAUAAAAGAUGUAACAGAUGCAAACUGUAACACAAGGGCCAUUAACCCUUUCUCUGCCGGGCACACUCAGUCCCCACGCCCCGCACCUAUUGUCUCCUGUGCUAGAAGCUUUGCAGAAAACCUGGAAAGGGAAAUCCUGAAAUAAAGAAAUGGUCACACAAGUGUCUGGGAUGAAACAGCUGGCCUGUCUAUAUUCAUCCUGAGACACACGACUGCAUAUAAAUACAUGUUUAAUAAAUUUUGGCCAGAAAUGGUGAGAAGAAAAAGCAUGAAGAAGCCGCGAAGUGUGGGGGAGAAAAAGGUGGAAGCGAAGAAACAGCUCCCGGAGCAAACUGUACAAAAACCUCGCCAAGAGUGUCGGGAGGCAGGACCGUUAUUCCUGCAGAGCAGGAGAGAGACGAGAGACCCUGAAACACGCGCCACCUAUCUUUGUGGGGAGGGAUAAUUGAAGCGCCCUGAGCGUACCAGAGCCAGAAAAAAAAAAAUGCUACAUGGGAGCUGCAUCUUAGGGCAUGUGUAUUAGGGUGUGUGC